rnacentral:rRNA from 1 species
UUGGAGGGCAAGUCUGGUGCCAGCAGCCGCGGUAAUUCCAGCUCCAAUAGCGUAUAUUAAAGUUGUUGCAGUUAAAAAGCUCGUAGUUGAAUUUCGGAGUUUGUCGGUCGGUCGGGCUUCACUGUCCGCACUGGCCUGACGGAUUCCUACCUUCUGAAUAACCAGCAUGCUAUUAAGUUAGUGCGUUGGGGAAGCAGAGCUAUUACCUUGAAAAAAUUAGAGUGCUUAAAGCAGGCUUAUGCUUGAAUAGAUUAGCAUGGAAUAAUAAAAUAGGACGGCAUGGUUCCAUUUUGUUGGUUUCUAGGAUCACCGUAAUGAUUAAUAGGGAUAGUUGGGGGCAUUAGUAUUCAAUUGUCAGAGGUGAAAUUCUUGGAUUUAUUGAAGACUAACUUCUGCGAAAGCAUUUGCCAAGGAUGUUUUCAUCAAUCACGAACGAAAGUUAGGGGAUCGAAGACGAUCAGAUACCGUCGUAGUCUUAACCAUAAACUAUGCCGACUAGGGAUCGGACGAUGUUAAUUUUUUAAUGACUCGUUCGGCGCCUUACGGGAAAC